rnacentral:lncRNA from 1 species
UUAUCUUUCCUUUUCUUUUUUUUUUUUUUUAAAGGGCUGAGAAUGUGGUACAAUGGUAAAGUACCCUUGGGUCAAAUCCCCAGUAACAAAAAGAAAAAUAAAGUGAAGGAUAACAGAAGCACUUCAAUUGAUUAUGCAUUAUUUAACCUUGAGGUUAUGGUUUAGAUGUGGUGUCUCCCAAAAGCUCACAUGUAAGACAAUGCAAGAAGGUUCCAUGGAAAAAUGAUUGGGUUGUAAGAGUCUUAACCCAAUCAGUGAAUCAAUCCCCUGAUAAGGAUUAACUGAGUGGUAACUGAAGUAGUAGGGUGUGGCAGGAGGCCUUGGGAAUUGGGGCAUGGCUUGGGGGUAUAUAUUUGUAUCUAGCAAGUGGAGACCUCUCUCUGAUCAUCAUGUGUGCUGCUUCCCUCCACCACACUCUUCUACCAUGAUGUUUUGCCUCACCUCGAGCCCUAAGGAAUGGAGUCUGCUGUCUAUGGAUUGAAACCUCUUAAUCAUGAACCCUCAAAUAAACUUUUUUCUCCUCUAGGUUGUUCUGAUCGGAUCCUUAGUCACAGCAGCAAAAUAGCUGACUAAUAUACUUGGUUUUAAAGUACUUGAGUUGAAUACAGUGGAGUAAGUAUGUGCUUUUGCAAAUACAAACUUGAUGAAAACUAAAUCUGAUAAACAGAAAAAGAAACACAUAAAAAUGCACACACAAAAACUAAAGCUGGAUAAAACUUUUUUAAUUUUUAAAAAUCAGUCAUUGAGCUAGCAAGAAAGCAAGAAAAUUACAGACCAAAAACAAAACUAAGGUGGAACUCCUAGAUUAUGAAUAAGCUCCUAAAACAUCUUUCAAACAACUGUGUCCUUGAGUGUUCACUUUGACCAGUGUGCAGGAUCUAGAAACAUAAGAUAUAUCCUCAGGCAUCUCUCAGAUCAGAAGAAUAACAACUUUCCCGUAAAACUGGUACUCUAAAGGGCCAAGGUCAAGAUGAAAAUAAAAUUAACUUGCUUUGCUGAAGAGGACCACAGAAAAAUUCACCUCUCUUGAUGCUUAUGUGGGAUGAAGAAUAUAAAAAAGAUAUUCUUUGAUAAUUCAUGACUAUGAAGUGGUCUUCAUAUAAGAUUUUGACCCAAAUUCAUGAUACCAUGGGAUUAUUGAAUAAACUUCAUGAGUCUCAGUUUAUGGCCCUCUAAGCAAAUGUCAGAAACAGACAAAUCCAUUCUGAAGGAGUAUCUUGAACCUAGGCUCCAAAGAAAUCCCUCACAUGAAAUUUCAAGAACAGAUGCUCAUAAUCAAAAACACAAAACAGGGCUGGGAUUGUGGCUCAGUGGUAGAGUGCUUGCCUAGCAUGUGUGAGGCACUGGGUUCGAUUCUCAGAACUGCAUAUAAAUAAAAUUAAGUCCAUUGACAACAACAAAAAAAAAAAAUUUAAAAAAAAACAAGGAAGCAAGGCUCCACGUAAGGAUAGACCGAAACAAAAGGCAAGGUCAGACCUACAUAGUGGGUAUGGGAAUAAACAGAUGUAGACAAUAAGUGUGCUUAAUUAAAGAAAUGAAAGACAAGUUUGAAAAUGCAAGAAAGGAACUAUUGCACCCUUUAAAAAAUAAACUUUUGAAUUAUUUUUUAAAACUGAGUAUUAAAAUCCAAGUACUUCUUGGGUUUUUUGUUUGUUUGUUUGUUUGUUUUGUUUUUCCCUAACCUUUUUCUUCCCAACUAGAUUUUAGGUCCUUGAAGAGAGAGGGGCCAGGCUUAACAUGUUAUAGGUUAUUGUUGCCAGUUGAAAGAAGUACUCAAUUCUUUUGAAAACCAGAAGUAAUAAUGAGAGUUUGUGACAACGUUUUUAAAAUGUAAAUUUUUUUAAAAAAAUCCUAUGGUAAGAUGCAGAAGACAUGAAGUCAGAAUGAAUGCAGUGCUGCCAGCUGACUGGCUUCCCGCACAGGGCAUUAGCUUUGUCAGUGGUCCCUCUAGUCCAUUUCUCAUCUUGAGAACACUUGUGAAGUGAGCGUAUGUCCACAUCCGCUUGUUAGAAAAUCUAUUCAAAAUGCCUUGCAAUUACUUAAAUACAAGUUACUUUCAAACACUGAUGUGCCAUUUUAAAAAAAUUGAGGCCAUAUGGAAACGUUCA